rnacentral:lncRNA from 1 species
AUGACCCUAGGGUCCAGCUCUUGGCCUGGGGACACAGGAGGGAGGGCUGUAGCUGCAGAUCAUCAGAGGACACACCUGAGCCUUUGGUCUGCAGGCGGCCACGGCCAGCAGGAGGACUGUGGCCCGGUGGCCUGGGGCCCCGCUCACACAGACGCACUCACACUGGCUUGUGUGCUCCUUGGCAAGUUAACUCAAGCCCUGAGCCUCAGUUUUGUCACCUGUACGAUGGCAUCAGCAACCGGACCUACACUGGCCUGCUGUGAGGAUUUAGGGAGGGCCAAGGCAGUUUCUUGCUGUUUAAACUGGGGCUCUGACGAGGGAGAAGUCACAGGAGGGAGAGCUGCCGCUGCAGGGGCAACCUGUGGGACGCGCGCGUGGUGUGGCCUCUGGUCUCGGGCAGGGAAGGGUCAGCCGUGGCUCUGCUGGGGUCCCGGGGGGGUGCUGGAGGCCUUCCCAGGCCAGAUGGGUGAGGUCAGAACCAGACUUCCAGGGGCUGUCCGGCACCUCUGCACUCCGUCUGGCAGUUUGAUACCAAGUGGGCCCUUCCCAAAUCCAUAAGCGGGUCCCUGCAAGCCGGUCCCACUUCAACGCCAGAAGCCUCCCACUGACCCCCAGGGGCCUGUGCCCUUCCUCCCGCCCCACGUCCUCACUGGGGCCAGAUGCGUCAUGCGGUGGUGAAAGUUAUUUGAAGCUCAUCAACCAACGAACCAAGCAAGGCUAAAUCCAGCAGCAGGCUGCCACCGCAAGGGAGUUUAUGGGUUUGAACUCGAGCUGCUUUCAGUAAUGAAGAAAUCCCACCCUCAGUCACGGGGCUGGGCAGCCAUUUCCACAUCUCUCCAGCCCCAAGACGUGCAGGAAAGCCAGUGUGGGACUUGCCAAGGGCUGAGGACUUCUGCCACCUCCAAGGGGGUGCGGGACAGUGAAGACGCACAGGCUCGGGUGGGGCGGGGGCACAGGUGGUUUACAGAAGCGUCUGGCAGCACAUACUGUUUUGCACCUACUACCAGGAGCAACGAUGCCAACUCUCUUGGGAUAGAAAACCAGGGUCAACCCUGGCUCUGGCUUCUGACCACAUGCCUGCUUUGAUCCUGCCUUCCCAGAACCUCAACUUGCAGCCUCCCAAGACCUUUCCCUAGAGACUUUAGGUUGCUCAUACAGGGUGUGAAAGCUUCAGUCUAAAUUACAGGGCGUGCAGGUGGGGACAUCUCUCACCAGGUCCCCCGGCCACUACCAAGCAUGUGGUCUUUGGUAAGGGUCAUCACUGCUCCCUAGACCUUGAGGGACUGGGCUUCAAAGGAGCAUCCUCAUCACACAUGAAGUUGAUGCUUUAAAAAAAAAAAAAAAAAAAAAAAAAAAAAAAGUUCCUGUCACGGCUCAGCAUUAACAAACCCAACUAGCAUCCAUAAGGACAUGGGUUUGAUCCCUGGCAUCACUCAGUGGGUUAAGGAUCCAGCGUUGCCGUGAGCUGUGGUGUAGGUCACAGACAUGGCUUGGAUCUGGCGUUGCUGUGGCUGUGGCGUAGGCCAGGGACUAUAUAGCUCCAAUUCAACCCCUAGCUUGGGAAACUCCAUAUGCCGCAAAUGUGACCCUAAAAAGACAAAAACAAAAACAAAAAAGCCCGUCUUCUGAGAAGGAAAUCGGACAGGAAGCACCAUUACAAAUGGGUAUUGUAUCAUAGCUUGUUUCAGAGCUGACUUUGCUGACACUUCCUCAAAAUAAAACCACAAGGUUUGGUUUGGUUUGGUUUGGGGGUGGGAUGGACAUGACAUACAAGACAGUUGGGGGUGGGAUGGGACGGGAGACACGACAUACAAGAUGGUUGUUGACUGAACUUCCCACAAGCUCUGCUGGUUUCCGCCCACUGUGAUUUGCCAACAGGCCACCGUACACUGAGGGACUCGUGAUGUCUCAAUCUGGCUACAAGCUGCUUUCAAAUCUAACCCCCUCCCUUUUUUUUUAAUGGCCACACCCAUAGCAUAUGUUAGUUCCUGGACCAGAGAUCGAAUCCAAGCCACAGCUGCAAUGCCAGAUCUUUUAACCCACUGUGCCAGGCCAGGGAUCGAACCUGCACCUUUGCAGUGACUGGAACCACUGCAGUUGGAUUCUCAAUCCACUGGGCCACAGUGGGAACUCCUCAAAGCUAAUCUUUGAGCCAAGAAGGCUAGCAGCCUCCAUGCAAUGUACAAAAGCUAAUCAUCCCUUAGUGCAAACCGGAGUAAAACAGAACCCAAACUGCAGAGGCUGAGGGAGAGCUGCUCUGCUCAGAGUCCAAUCAGAAGGCCGAACGGCCUCACUCGUGCUCAUUCUACUGGACCACAGGGCUGAGCAGAACAGGGAGCAGUUGCUACACUGAAGGAGGCUCAGGUGGCCUCCAUUCCCCACAUCCCGCCUCUCCUUCUCCCCUAUCACAGGGGAACUAGGGCAUUCAGGGGAGAACCAUGCCUCUCCACGUUCAGCGUCCAGAAAGCGGGCUUCCAUUUAGGAAGGGGGCAGCCAACGGUGACAUCGAGAGGCCCUUGGUGCAUAACAAGGAUCUCUCCACUCACGGAGAAGCCACCCAGGGCGUUGAGUUUGUGUCGAGCAGGGCCUGAAGUGUGGACACUGGAAAGGUCUCAUCACAUCACCUUCCUCGUCCAUGGACCUUUUGGUCCUUUACGGGAAGGAGAAAAACAGCCGAAAUGUGGCUGGAAGGAUGCUCAGAUAGCCAGCUGACUGCAAAAGGGAACUGGCUGCCCGCUGUAGCAGACAGUGCCACAACCCCGGGCCAAGUCCGGCCGGCUCCUCCCAGAGGUGAGACUGCGGCCACUACUUGAUUCCAAGGCAACUUGGGCACAGGACGUCAACGCUCAGUCCGCUCAACCUCGCUUCAUGCACCUUUAUGUGAUUCAGACCGUGCUAACUGCUAAAAGGGCUAAGCUUCUGCACACCGAAGGGCCUGAGGAGCAGUAGGGAGGACAAAGGCUGCUCAGCUCUCCCCACCCGCCCCCGAAGCCCAGGGCUUGGAGCCCGGGUGAGCACGCGGCCACCACUACCUUCAGAGGUAAAACUCAAUCCUGCAAUUCCUUUAGUUUUACCAUUUCUGUUGGAAAUUUAUUCAAGAUGAAAGCUGUCCAGAAGCAGAGGCUGGAUUUGGUCAUACAGCCCACACUCCAGUGAGUCACUCCACUGUAUUUGCUGGUGAAACACAGUUUAGCCAUCAAACGAUCACGGCAUCAGGACGCUGUCUCCGAAACACCACGCACAUUAGAAUUACUCAUGAGAGCUAUCUGAGCUCUAGUUUUUCAGUCCGGUCCUUACUGAUCUGAUAAAGCCCUCGGGGACCAAGUUUUACACCCCUCACCCUGCAAAGCAUCAGCUAUUCAUCGACUGGCACUGCUUAUUCACUAACAUGGGUUGCCGAAGGCUUGUCCUGAGACAGUUCCUGGGCUCUGAAUGAGCAAACCAGUUGACAUUCCACACACUUUUUUUCCCAGCUUUUUAGGGCUGCAGGUAUGGUACAUGGAAGUUCUUGGGCCAGGGGUUCAACUGGAAUUGCAGCUGCAGGCCUAUGCCACAGCAAGGCCAGAUCCGCACCCCAUCUGUGACCUUAACCCACCCAGUGAGGCCAGGGAUCAAGCCUAUAUCCUUCCUCAUGGUUACUAGUCAGGUUUGCUCCUGCUGAGCCAUGACGGGAACUCCCCAUUUUAAAUAAGCUGAUGGCCCUAAAACCAGGGCUAAUUUUAUUUAUUUAUUUGUCUUUUUGCUAUUUCUUGGGCCGCUCCCGCGACACAUGGAGGUUCCCAGGCUAGGGCUUGAAUUGGAACUGUAGCCACCGGCCUACGCCAGAGCCACAGCAACGCAGGAUCCAAGCCGCGUCUGCAACCUACACC